rnacentral:rRNA from 1 species
UCCCGGUCCAUCUGCCCAGUGAUUAUUUAACGGCCGCAGUAUCCUGACUGUGCUAAGGUAGCAUAAUAACUAGCUUUUUAAUUGAAAGCUCGUAUGAAAGACUCGACGAAAAGUUCACUGUCUCAGCAAUUCCCCUAAAUUACUCAGAAAGUAAAAAAGCUUUCUCACCUUAGUAGGACGACAAGACCCUAUAAAACUUUACCUCAAAGAACGGGAAAUCACGUUCACAAAGGUUCGACUGGGGCGGUCAACUUUAAUUUAAACAAAUAAAACUCCAACAUACUGAAUGAUCUUAAUAAACUCCUUAGCAACAAAGAACAAGUUACUUUAGGGAUAACAGCGCAAUAUUUUUUUAGAGCCCUUAUCGACAAAAAUGUUUACGACCUCGAUGUUGAAUUGAAGAACCUUCGCAGAGCAG